GAUGAACGCUGGCGGCGUGCCUAAUACAUGCAAGUCGAGCGAACGGACGAGAAGCUUGCUUCUCUGAUGUUAGCGGCGGACGGGUGAGUAACACGUGGAUAACCUACCUAUAAGACUGGGAUAACUUCGGGAAACCGGAGCUAAUACCGGAUAAUAUUUUGAACCGCAUGGUUCAAAAGUGAAAGACGGUCUUGCUGUCACUUAUAGAUGGAUCCGCGCUGCAUUAGCUAGUUGGUAAGGUAACGGCUUACCAAGGCAACGAUGCAUAGCCGACCUGAGAGGGUGAUCGGCCACACUGGAACUGAGACACGGUCCAGACUCCUACGGGAGGCAGCAGUAGGGAAUCUUCCGCAAUGGGCGAAAGCCUGACGGAGCAACGCCGCGUGAGUGAUGAAGGUCUUCGGAUCGUAAAACUCUGUUAUUAGGGAAGAACAUAUGUGUAAGUAACUGUGCACAUCUUGACGGUACCUAAUCAGAAAGCCACGGCUAACUACGUGCCAGCAGCCGCGGUAAUACGUAGGUGGCAAGCGUUAUCCGGAAUUAUUGGGCGUAAAGCGCGCGUAGGCGGUUUUUUAAGUCUGAUGUGAAAGCCCACGGCUCAACCGUGGAGGGUCAUUGGAAACUGGAAAACUUGAGUGCAGAAGAGGAAAGUGGAAUUCCAUGUGUAGCGGUGAAAUGCGCAGAGAUAUGGAGGAACACCAGUGGCGAAGGCGACUUUCUGGUCUGUAACUGACGCUGAUGUGCGAAAGCGUGGGGAUCAAACAGGAUUAGAUACCCUGGUAGUCCACGCCGUAAACGAUGAGUGCUAAGUGUUAGGGGGUUUCCGCCCCUUAGUGCUGCAGCUAACGCAUUAAGCACUCCGCCUGGGGAGUACGACCGCAAGGUUGAAACUCAAAGGAAUUGACGGGGACCCGCACAAGCGGUGGAGCAUGUGGUUUAAUUCGAAGCAACGCGAAGAACCUUACCAAAUCUUGACAUCCUUUGACAACUCUAGAGAUAGAGCCUUCCCCUUCGGGGGACAAAGUGACAGGUGGUGCAUGGUUGUCGUCAGCUCGUGUCGUGAGAUGUUGGGUUAAGUCCCGCAACGAGCGCAACCCUUAAGCUUAGUUGCCAUCAUUAAGUUGGGCACUCUAAGUUGACUGCCGGUGACAAACCGGAGGAAGGUGGGGAUGACGUCAAAUCAUCAUGCCCCUUAUGAUUUGGGCUACACACGUGCUACAAUGGGCAAUACAAAGGGCAGCGAAACCGCGAGGUCAAGCAAAUCCCAUAAAGUUGUUCUCAGUUCGGAUUGUAGUCUGCAACUCGACUACAUGAAGCUGGAAUCGCUAGUAAUCGUAGAUCAGCAUGCUACGGUGAAUACGUUCCCGGGUCU
rnacentral:rRNA from 1 species